AUGGAGUGCAACAAGGAUGCGGCCCUUGUUGCAAAGGAGGCUGCGGAGAGGAAGUUUGAAACUAUGACUACCAUCUUCAAACAUGCUACUUCCAGGGCAAGGAAAAGGAAGCAGAAUGUAGGAUCAGAAACAUCCGUAGUGCACCAUAACGUCCAUAUGCCGUUCCAAGCAAACGAGGCACCAAUGCCGCAAACAGAGACUGUUCAUGUGGUACAAACUGAGAAUCAAGAUGGAAGCAGUGCUAGAAAUUUUCAGUGGAGUCCACUAUGUAUGGCAGGUGGAAAUAUUCUGGCUUCUAGCAACACUGGAGCCUCAGAGUUUCAACAUGUUAGUGGUGGGCGCGAUGGGAAACUGCAACCUCAUACCAACAUCAGCCUAAGCAAGUCCUUUCGUAAAGAUGAAAUGAGAAAACUUUUGAUUAAAAAAGCAAAGAGUGGUUUAACUGAGAAGCUGAGGAAGAUUAUAACUAACAAGAAUGAUUCUGGUACAAAAACAGAUGCUGAAAAAGAAGAGGAUCACCCAUCCACAUAUAUUGUUCCUGAUCCUCAUUUUCAUGAUUUUGAUAAGGAUCGUACCGAGGAAUCUUUUCAGAGUGGUCAAGUUUGGGCUUCGUAUGGUGACAAAGAUGGCAUGCCUCACUGUUAUGUGCUCAUUAAGAAACGUCUGUCCUUAUCACCAUUUAAGCUCGGAAUAAAUUUUCUCCACGGCGCAAGGACGAGCAAUGAAUUUGGGUCUUUCGAUUGGGUUUCUUCUGAUUUAAGAAAGACGUGUGGUGAUUUCAGGAUUGGCAUGUAUGAAACCAGCAGCGACAUAUGGGCCGUGUACCAAAACUGGUCAUCUGAUUGGAAUGGAAAUACUCCUGAUAAUGUGAUGCAAGUCUAUGAUCUGGUUGAGGUUCUGGAUAAUUAUGAUGCUGAGCACGGCAUUUCUGUUGCCGCAUUGAUCAAGGUUGCUGGAUUCAGAACGGUUUUUCGACGCUACCCGGAUGGGUAUGCCAUCAAGAGGAUUAUGAAAGAAGAGAUGCUUCGGUUUUCACACCAGGUUCCUUUUUACAGGAUGACCGAGGAAGAAGCUCCAGAUGUGCCCAUGGGUUGCUAUGAGAUAGACCCAGCUGCUCUUUCUAAAGAGCUCCUUGAGGAGAUCACAGAGGCAGUGGAGGAGGGUAACGAGAUACCGGGGGAAGAAGCUAUUUAG
rnacentral:rRNA from 1 species